GAUGAACGCUGGCGGCGUGCCUAAUACAUGCAAGUCGAGCGAACAGACGAGGAGUUUGCUCCUCUGACGUUAGCGGCGGACGGGUGAGUAACACGUGGAUAACCUACCUAUAAGACUGGGAUAACUUCGGGAAACCGGAGCUAAUACCGGAUAAUAUAUUGAACCGCAUGGUUCAAUAGUGAAAGACGGUUUUGCUGUCACUUAUAGAUGGAUCCGCGCCGCAUUAGCUAGUUGGUAAGGUAACGGCUUACCAAGGCAACGAUGCGUAGCCGACCUGAGAGGGUGAUCGGCCACACUGGAACUGAGACACGGUCCAGACUCCUACGGGAGGCAGCAGUAGGGAAUCUGCCGCAAUGGGCGAAAGCCUGACGGAGCAACGCCGCGUGAGUGAUGAAGGUCUUCGGAUCGUAAAACUCUGUUAUUAGGGAAGAACAAAUGUGUAAGUAACUAUGCACGUCUUGACGGGACCUAAUCAGAAAGCCACGGCUAACUACGU
rnacentral:rRNA from 1 species